GGAGUUGGAAGCCAGCUCCCAAACAGCCAAGGAACAGAGAAGUCAGCAGCCUCCAGCCACUCCCUCCCGCUGCCCAACCCAGCUCCCCAAAUUCCCCACCAAAAGCCACGCCCCCACCCACCCUCAGACCAGUACUUCAGGAUGAACCUGGAGCUCCCAGGAUAAGGCUGUGCCUCCCCCCGUCAGACCGUCAUUUCAGAGCAAGACUAUGUCUCCCUAAAACCAAGUGUCCUGAGCCUCACCAGUGUACACAGAGCAAGGCCAGUGUCCCAGGCUAGGGCCAUGCCCCUUAGACCAUGGUUCCCAGCCAGAGCUGUACCUCCUCCCUUAGAUCAGAACCCCCAGGGCAAGGCCUGUCUCCCCAUCAGGGGUGACAAGAGAGGACUGGAUCAUCAAAGUGGGUGGCCCAGGAAAGAGAGUCGGAGGAGAGUACAAGGUCCCCAUCCACCGUGGGCUCACCUGGGCCCAGAGGAAUCCGUUCUUCCCAGGUCAGAUGCAAACAGUUCCUUGGUUCGGAGCGGGAGCCUGGGGCUGGACCAUGGGUGAGGGCAGGUGAUUUUGGAGCAGGGUCUCUGGGCAGGGAGGGGCCAGGUUUGCACAGGGCUGAGGCAGCAGUUUAGCCUCUGGUAGGGGCAGCUCUCCCCACUCCCUGCAAUGCUGUGGUGGUCCCCUGUGAAAAUGCGUUGUCCCCCUCCUCCAGGGCUCCAAGGUGCUGUCCCCAAGCAGUCAUCACCCCAGACCUGGGUCUCUGAGGCUCAGUGUGGGUGGAUCUACCUCUGCCACCCAGGGCUCUAGCUUUGUGUCAGACCCACGGGAAUUUCACUCUUGACUCCACCCUGGUACUCCUCCACCUUUCUAACCUCGGUUUUUCUCAUCUGGAAAAUGGGGACAGGGGCACCUAUAGCAGGGGGUUCCAUGGUAUGCCCUUUCCCUUGGCUGGCCACAGGUAACUCUGGGUGACCACAGGGCCAAGGCACAGGAAGCAACGAAACUGAGUCCAGCCCGUCCUUCCAUCCCACGUGCAGCGCCAGGACCUUCAGGAAGUCACUGAGACAGAGCCACAUGGAGGAGCGGGGAGAUAUCUGGCUGGCCUUGGGAGGGUUGGCCUCAGUAGCCUGUGGGGAGGCGAAUUCCAGGCCCCUCUCGGCUUCCUCCUGGGUCCAUUCUCUCACCCAAGCUCUGGCUUGAGCCCCUGUCCAGAGACAGCUAGGGACCCAUGACCAGCCCAGAGGAGUGAGGGGCAAGGGGCAUACAUUCCUCUCUCUUUCUCUGCCUCAUUCUCUGCUCCCCAGACCAGGAGACAAAGGACUGGGUUUAAAUUCCGGCUUUGUCAUUCACCAACUAUAAGGCAUUGGGCAAGGUAUUGAAUCUCUCCAAGCCUCAGUUUCCUUAUCUGUAAAGUGGGAGGGGCCAGGUGCAGUGGCUCAUGCCUGUAAUCCCAGCACUUUGGGAGGCCGAGGCAGGUGGACCACCUGAGGUCCGGAGUUCAAGACCAGCCUGGCCAACAUGGUGAAACCCCAUCUCUACUAAAAAUACAAAAAUUAGCCAGGCAUGGUAGUGGGUGCCUGUAAUCCCAGCUACUCGGGAGGCUGAGGCAGGAGAAUCGCUUGAACGUGGGAGGUGGAGUUUGCGGUGAGCCAUUGCACUCCAACCUGGGUGACAGAGCAAAACUUCAUCUUAAAAAAAAAAAAAAUUAGCUGGUGUGGUGGUGUCCACUUGUAGUCCCAGCUACUCAGGAGGCUGAGGUAGGAGGAUCACUUGAACCCAGGAGGUUGAAGCCGCAGUGAGCCAAGGUCAUGCCACUCUACUUCAACCUGGGUGACGGAGAACCUGUCUCAAAAAUAAAA